AAUGAUAAAUUACAACAAAUUUCUUAACCUAAUAGUAGAGGAAAAAAGGGCCAGGGGAAACCUUACUCUUUUCAAAAUUUAAGGUCGAUAUACAAAAAAAAAAAAAAAAAAAUACAGUAUGGCCAUGAUUUUUUAUGCUAAGAAAGAAAGGUCAAUAAAAUCUUUAUGCAGAAUAACACGAUACGAUUCAGCCUGUCAUAUUCCACUGCUGGGUACAGGCCUCUUUGAUCAUGUAGGAGAAGGACUGAAGCUUAACCCACCACGCUGCGGUUGGUUGAUACAGUCCCUCCUGUGAGUCACGAUCGAUAUCAGGUAUUUACUACAGUAGGCCGUGUUCGUGCAUUUACUUACCGGAUGAAAAAAAGAAGACAAUAAUGCAAAACUGUACAACAAUUCAAUUCGUGACGAAUCGAGUAACCUUCUGCUUUUUUGAAGUCGGUUAGAAAUCAAUUAUAUCCCGACUUAUUUUUAUCUAAAACACAAUGAACUCAAAUUGUAAUCUUUUAUUCAGUUAAACUUGUCCAUGAAACAUAAUAUAAAAAUAUCUUAUCUUGAAAUAAGAUAUCUUUGUGUAAGAGGAAAAAAAUAAUAAUUUAAAAACGUAUAUUUUGUUACCUAAAUUAUUAUGUGCCGAAUAUGUGACAUGUGUGUAGUAUGUGUUAAGAGAAACAUACUUUUAAAGAA
rnacentral:misc_RNA from 1 species